GGUGAUUUUAAUGAAAUAUUAUAUGCACAUGAAAAGGAGGGUGGUGUGGCUCGUCCACAACGGUGCAUGCAACAAUUCAGCGAUGUUUUGAGCGACUGUAGUCUGGAGGAUCUAGGCUACACUAGAGACAAGUUCACUUGGUGUCGGGGCCGUAUUCGGGAGAGGCUGGACCGUGCCGUCGGCAGCAUGGCAUGGGCUGACCUGUUCCCAUGCUAUGGGGUGUUAAAUGAAGCUUUUGACAAAUCUGACCAUCGACCGAUCUUGAUUGAUACAGAUUACCAGCUAGGACUACAAUCAAAAGGCCCUCCUGGUCCUCGCCGGUUCGAGGCGAGAUGGCUCGCCGAGGAAGACAUGGAGACGAUAGUACAUGAUGCAUGGGAGAGCGGCAAGAUGCAUGACGCUGUGUCCUUGGCGCACUGCACGGGUGAGAUCCAUGCAGCCCUCCAUAAGUGGGACAAAGACGUGUUGAAAGGUCCAAGGAACAAAAUACGAGAGUUACAGGAAAAGCUUAAUGAAGUAAUGACGGGACCCCUCACAGAUGAAGCGAUGGCAACACAACAAGAUUUGCAUAUGCAAAUUGAAAACUUGCUUGAGCAGGAGGAGUUAUAG
rnacentral:rRNA from 1 species